rnacentral:lncRNA from 1 species
CUAAGCAGUCUUUCCCUUGUUCUAUAUGUCCCAUGGCUAAAUAGAUUAAACUUCCCUUUCCUGAUAGCACAAUAACUACUUCUAGACCCUUCCAAAUGAUUCAUGUGGACACUUGGGGCCCUAUCACACUCCUACUUCUUCUGGCUCUAGAUAUUUUCUUACAAUUGUUGAUGAUUUCUCUAAGGCUACCUGGACACACUUACUGGGUUCCAAAAGCAAUGCCUUCUGCUUGCUUAAAUCAUUUCUGUCUAUGGCUAAAACUCAGUUUAAUUAUGUGGUUCAAAUUGUUAGAAGUGAUAAUGCUUUGGAACUGGGGUCUAGCAUUAAGGGUGCUUCUUUCUUUAGUAACCAAGGGAUAAUUCACCAAACUACCUGUCCUCAUAGUCCUCAACAUAAUGGUGUUGUAGAAAGGAAACAUAGGACUCUUCUUGAGGCAUGUAGGGCCUUACUUUUUCAAUCUGGCUUACCAGUUUCUUUCUGGGGGGAUUGCUUACUAACUGCCACCUACCUCCUUAAUAGACUACCAUCCAUACUUCUUCACCAUAAAUCUCCCUUUGAAGUUCUACAUGGAAAGGCCCCAACCUACUCUCAUUUGAGAGCAUUUGGGUGCCUUGCCUAUGCUACUGUUCCAAUUCCUCAAAGGGACAAAUUGAAACCUAGAGCCCUUUCCGCCUUGCCUAUGCUACUGUUCCAAUUCCUCAAAGGGACAAAUUGAAACCUAGAGUCCUUUCCUGUGUCUUCAUUGGGUAUCCUUUUGCCAAAAAGGGUUAUAGGCUUUAUGACCUUACUUCAAAGAAAUAUUUUAUCUCCAGGGAUGUUAUAUUUCAUGAAACCUACUUUCGUUUUAAGAAUGUUUCAUCUCCUGCUCCUUCUUCCGUUCCCUCAGCUCCUCAUCUUGGGCAUUCGUUCUCUGAUUCUGACUUGUUGAUACCUGUUUGUCCCUCUCCUUCUACUCCUUCUGCCACCACUUCUCCUUCUUCUGUUCUAGCCUCUGUUCCUCCCUUCAAUCCUGAUACAUCUCCUCCUAAUUUGCCUUCUUCUACAUCUGCUCCUGCUCCCAGAAAAUCUGGCAGACAGCAUAAUCCUCCCUCUUAUCUUAAGGACUAUGUCU